AACGCGAAGAACCUUACCUACCCUUGACAUGGAUGGAAUCCCUGAGAGAUUGGGGAGUGCUCGAAAGAGAACCAUUACACAGGUGCUGCAUGGCUGUCGUCAGCUCGUGUCGUGAGAUGUUGGGUUAAGUCCCGCAACGAGCGCAACCCUUGUCAUUAGUUGCUACGAAAGGGCACUCUAAUGAGACUGCCGGUGACAAACCGGAGGAAGGUGGGGAUGACGUCAAGUCCUCAUGGCCCUUAUGGGUAGGGCUUCACACGUCAUACAAUGGUACAUACAGAGGGCCGCCAACCCGCGAGGGGGAGCUAAUCCCAGAAAGUGUAUCGUAGUCCGGAUUGUAGUCUGCAACUCGACUGCAUGAAGUUGGAAUCGCUAGUAAUCGCGGAUCAGCAUGUCGCGGUGAAUACGUUCCCGGGCCUUGUACACACCG
rnacentral:rRNA from 1 species